rnacentral:rRNA from 1 species
UAGGGAAUCUUCCACAAUGGGCGCAAGCCUGAUGGAGCAACGCCGCGUGAGUGAAGAAGGUCUUCGGAUCGUAAAACUCUGUUGUUAGAGAAGAACAUGCAGGAGAGUAACUGUUCUUGUAUUGACGGUAUCUAACCAGAAAGCCACGGCUAACUACGUGCCCG